AAACUAUGUUGUGGGGAUGAACUGAUAAAAUCCUUGAGCUGCUCCCAACAUUGGAAGAAUGUUUCAUCCUCCUUUUGGGUGAAGUUCAUGAUUGACUUUCUAAGGGU